UGCAGUCCCAGCAGAAAGAAAAUGCACUGGAGGGGUCUGAAGAUCUCAAGCUCAGGCUUCUUUGAACUUCUGCCACAGGGUUACCCAGGAUGCACUUUGAUUUCAGGGCACAGGCCUGCUACUGUCUAUUCGUGGAGGUUGUAAGUCAGCAUGAAGGCCCAUUGACUGAAGUUGUGGGACUUUGCCCCCCCGGACACUGAGGGCAAUGCCAUGCCAAUGCACAAUGAAACAAUACACUGAGGACUCUUGAAACAGGAGGCCCAGAGAAAUGAGCGAUCCCAUGUGCUUUGGACUAACAGAUGCCGAAAGGACCACCCUCAGAUGACACUCAAAUCACAUGGAGAUAUGCAGGGAUGGCCCCAGGUACGAUGGACCAUCCCGGGGUGCUGCAUCCACAGUUCAGUGUCUACACUAAUGGGACAUCACUAUUGGGCUGCCUUCAUCAGCACAACCUCACUCCCCUAGGAGACACUCACAAACAACUUUAUUGUUUAUUCCAACAACUUCUGGAAAGACCCAUCAGCAACUCAAUAGGAAGCAGGAAACAACAGUUUAUACAUUAAAACUCUUUGAACCUUU